UACGGGGGGGGGCAAGCGUUGUUCGGAAUUACUGGGCGUAAAGGGCUCGUAGGCGGCCCUCUCAGUCGGAUGUGAAAUCCCCAGGCUCAACUUGGGAACGGCAUCCGAUACUGGAGGGCUUGAAUUCGGGAGAGGGAUGCAGAAUUCCAGGUGUAGCGGUGAAAUGCGUAGAUAUCUGGAGGAACACCGGUGGCGAAGGCGGCAUCCUGGACCACGACUGACGCUGAGUGAGCGAAAGCCAGGGGAGCAAACGGG
rnacentral:rRNA from 1 species